GGGGAAUAUUGUACAAUGGGGGAAACCCUGAUGCAGCGACGCCGCGUGGAGGAAGAAGGUCUUCGGAUUGUAAACUCCUGUUGUUGGGGAAGAUAAUGACGGUACCCAACAAGGAAGUGACGGCUAACUACGUGCCAGCAGCCGCGGUAAAACGUAGGUCACAAGCGUUGUCCGGAAUUACUGGGUGUAAAGGGAGCGCAGGCGGGAAGACAAGUUGGAAGUGAAAUCUAUGGGCUCAACCCAUAAACUGCUUUCAAAACUGUUUUUCUUGAGUAGUGCAGAGGUAGGCGGAAUUCCCGGUGUAGCGGUGGAAUGCGUAGAUAUCGGGAGGAACACCAGUGGCGAAGGCGGCCUACUGGGCACCAACUGACGCUGAGGCUCGAAAGUGUGGGUAGCAAACAGGAUUAGAUACCCUGGUAGUCCACACCGUAAACGAUGAUUACUAGGUGUUGGAGGAUUGACCCCUUCAGUGCCGCAGUUAACACAAUAAGUAAUCCACCUGGGGAGUACGACCGCAAGGUUGAAACUCAAAGGAAUUGACGGGGGCCCGCACAAGCAGUGGAGUAUGUGGUUUAAUUCGACGCAACGCGAAGAACCUUACCAAGUCUUGACAUCCCUUGACAGGCAUAGAAAUAUGUAAUCUCUUCGGAGCAAGGAGACAGGUGGUGCAUGGUUGUCGUCAGCUCGUGUCGUGAGAUGUUGGGUUAAGUCCCGCAACGAGCGCAACCCUUAUGGUCAGUUACUACGCAAGAGGACUCUGGCCAGACUGCCGUUGACAAAACGGAGGAAGGUGGGGAUGACGUCAAAUCAUCAUGCCCUUUAUGACUUGGGCUACACACGUACUACAAUGGCGUUAAACAAAGAGAAGCAAGACCGCGAGGUGGAGCAAAACUCAGAAACAACGUCCCAGUUCGGACUGCAGGCUGCAACUCGCCUGCACGAAGUCGGAAUUGCUAGUAAUCGUGGAUCAGCAUGCCACGGUGAAUACGUUCCCG
rnacentral:rRNA from 1 species